GGUGGACCUCGGAUCAGGCAGGGAUA
rnacentral:rRNA from 2 species